rnacentral:rRNA from 1 species
UACGUAGGUGACCAGCGUUGUCCGGAUUUACUGGGCGUAAAGAGCGCGCAGGCGGUCGUUCAAGUCGAGUGUGAAAGCCCCCGGCUCAACUGGGGAGGGUCACUCGAUACUGAUCGACUUGAAGGCAGGAGAGGGAAGCGGAAUUCCCGGUGUAGUGGUGAAAUGCGUAGAUAUCGGGAGGAACACCAGUGGCGAAGGCGGCUCACUGGCCCGUUACCGACGCUCAGGCGCGACAGCGUGGGGAGCAAACAGG